ensembl:lncRNA
CAUCAAGUAAACAACUGUAUAAACAAAUCUGCAGUUUGGUGGGGAAUUUAGGAUACAGAUAUCCAUUCGUGGGUCAUUGGCAGUCCUAUAUGAGAUCACCUAGGGAAAGAGUGGAAACAGAAAAGAGAUGAAGUCCAGGGACUGAGGCCUCGUUUGGGAAGAUGUGGACAGACUAGUGAAAGAGACUGUAAAGACAUGACUGGAGAAAUAAAUAUAAAGAGAAGGUGAAACCCUGAAAGCUAAAUGAAGAAAGUGUUCUAAGCAGGAAUGAUCACUGUGUCAACUGAAGCUGACAGGUCAAGCAAGGUUUCCAGUGCCUUCAAGAGCACAGACUAAAGGCAACUCUGCCUCACACUUGACCCAAACAAAACAGUGAUGACUAUAAAGGCCAGCAUCGGCAACCGAACGAUAGAGAAGCUGGCCCAUUGAAUGCCUGAUCCGCUGAUCUACAGAGUAGGACCCCAGCCAAGGGGCUCCUCUGUAUGCCUGACACAUGGAACAACAGAAAAGAACCCCAGGCAAAGCAGUCCUCUAAGUGCCUGAAUGGAUGGAGCUAUGGAGAAAGAAUGGCCAUAGAGGCCUUCUGGUCACCAGCUAAAAGAGGCGCAAAAAAAGACGGGUAGGGCCAUAACUCCUGCAGCAGAGGCAGUCCAUGUCCCUUCACACUUGUCACCACCAGGGUCUCUGCAAGCCAAGCAGCUGUGCCGUCUUCACACUCAACUUUCACUGGGGCAGAGCUGCCACAGGCAAAAAGAAGUCUUGCAUCUAUGCACACAGGGUCAAUUUGGUCGUGUCAAACUCUGUGACCCUGUGGACUGUGGCCUGCCAGGCUUCUCUGUCAGUGGGGUUCUCCAGGCAAGAAUACUGCAGUGUAUUGGCUAAUACUGGUUGCC